rnacentral:rRNA from 1 species
GACGAACGCUGGCGGCGUGCCUAAUACAUGCAAGUAGAACGCUGAAGAGAGGAGCUUGCUCUUCUUGGAUGAGUUGCGAACGGGUGAGUAACGCGUAGGUAACCUGCCUUGUAGCGGGGGAUAACUAUUGGAAACGAUAGCUAAUACCGCAUAACAAUGGAUGACACAUGUCAUUUAUUUGAAAGGGGCAAUUGCUCCACUACAAGAUGGACCUGCGUUGUAUUAGCUAGUAGGUGAGGUAAUGGCUCACCUAGGCGACGAUACAUAGCCGACCUGAGAGGGUGAUCGGCCACACUGGGACUGAGACACGGCCCAGACUCCUACGGGAGGCAGCAGUAGGGAAUCUUCGGCAAUGGGGGCAACCCUGACCGAGCAACGCCGCGUGAGUGAAGAAGGUUUUCGGAUCGUAAAGCUCUGUUGUAAGUCAAGAACGGGUGUGAGAGUGGAAAGUUCACACUGUGACGGUAGCUUACCAGAAAGGGACGGCUAACUACGUGCCAGCAGCCGCGGUAAUAUGUAGGUCCCGAGCGUUGUCCGGAUUUAUUGGGCGUAAAGCGAGCGCAGGCGGUUUGAUAAGUCUGAAGUUAAAGGCUGUGGCUCAACCAUAGUUCGCUUUGGAAACUGUCAAACUUGAGUGCAGAAGGGGAGAGUGGAAUUCCAUGUGUAGCGGUGAAAUGCGUAGAUAUAUGGAGGAACACCGGUGGCGAAAGCGGCUCUCUGGUCUGUAACUGACGCUGAGGCUCGAAAGCGUGGGGAGCGAACAGGAUUAGAUACCCUGGUAGUCCACGCCGUAAACGAUGAGUGCUAGGUGUUGGAUCCUUUCCGGGAUUCAGUGCCGCAGCUAACGCAUUAAGCACUCCGCCUGGGGAGUACGACCGCAAGGUUGAAACUCAAAGGAAUUGACGGGGGCCCGCACAAGCGGUGGAGCAUGUGGUUUAAUUCGAAGCAACGCGAAGAACCUUACCAGGUCUUGACAUCCCGAUGCUAUUUCUAGAGAUAGAAAGUUACUUCGGUACAUCGGUGACAGGUGGUGCAUGGUUGUCGUCAGCUCGUGUCGUGAGAUGUUGGGUUAAGUCCCGCAACGAGCGCAACCCCUAUUGUUAGUUGCCAUCAUUCAGUUGGGCACUCUAGCGAGACUGCCGGUAAUAAACCGGAGGAAGGUGGGGAUGACGUCAAAUCAUCAUGCCCCUUAUGACCUGGGCUACACACGUGCUACAAUGGUUGGUACAACGAGUUGCGAGUCGGUGACGGCGAGCUAAUCUCUUAAAGCCAAUCUCAGUUCGGAUUGUAGGCUGCAACUCGCCUACAUGAAGUCGGAAUCGCUAGUAAUCGCGGAUCAGCACGCCGCGGUGAAUACGUUCCCGGGCCU